GCGCACGGCGGAUGCCUUGGCACAGGGAGCCGAUGAAGGACGCGGCAAGCUGCGAUAAUCCCCGGCGAGGAGCACACAUCCUUCGACCCGGGGGUCUCCGAAUGGGCGAACCCAUCCGUAGCAGUACGGAUAUCCCGACCCCGAACACAUAGGGGCCGGGAGGACAACCCGGGGAACUGAAACAUCUAAGUACCCGGAGGAGAGGAAAUCAAUCUCGAGACUCCCCGAGUAGCGGCGAGCGAAAGGGGACCGAUGGCCAAACCGUCGAGCGGGCAUACCCGGCAGGGGUUCCGCCGACGGGGUUGCAGGGCCGCGCAUCCGGGGGCUGCCGCCCCCGGGCGCAGGUCCGGCUGGGGAGCGGAACGGCAUGGGAGGGCCGGCCGCAGCGGGUGACAGCCCCGUACGCGAACCCAGACCGGACGGCGCGACGCGGUCCCUGAGUAGGGCCGGGCACGUGAAACCCGGUCCGAACCUGGGUGGACCACCAUCCAAGCCUGAGUACUACCCUGUGACCGAUAGCGCACCAGUACCGUGAGGGAAAGGUGAAAAGCACCCCGGGAGGGGAGUGAAACAGUACCUGAAACCGUGCGCCCACGAGCAGUCGGAGCACCCUUGUGGUGUGACGGCGUGCCUUUUGUAGAAUGAGCCAGCGAGUCGCUGGCGCGGGGCGAGGUUAACCGAAAGGGAGCCGGAGCGAAAGCGAGCCUUAACAGGGCGACUUGAGUCCCGCGCCGCGGACGCGAAGCCGGGUGAGCUAUCCGUGGGCAGGCUGAAGCGGGGGUAAGACCCCGUGGAGGGCCGAACGCACGUCGGUUGAAAACGGCGGCGAUGACCUGCGGAUAGGGGUGAAAGGCCAAUCAAACCCGGAGAUAUCUCGUUCUCCCCGAAAUAGCUUUAGGGCUAGCGUCGCGCGUUCACCGCCGGAGGUAGAGCACCGGAUGGACGAGGGGGCUUCGCCGCCUACCGAAUCCAACCGAACUCCGAAUGCCGGCGGCCCAGAGCGCGGCAGUCAGAGCAUGUGGGCUAAGCUGUGUGCUCGAGAGGGAAACAGCCCGGACCGCCCGCUAAGGUCCCCAAGUUCCAGCCGAGUGGCAAAGGAUGUGCGUCCGCCCAGACAACCAGGAUGUUGGCUUAGAAGCAGCCAUCCAUUCAAAGAGUGCGUAACAGCUCACUGGUCGAGUGGACAUGCGCCGACAAUACACGGGGCUAAGCUGGACACCGAAGCGGCGGGAUUUUACCUAAGUAGAAUCGGUAGGGGAGCUUCCCAUGGGCGGGGAAGCCGCCGGGCGACCGGCGGUGGAGCGCAUGGGAGUGAGAAUGCUGGCAUGAGUAGCGAGAGACGAGAGAGUAACUCGUCCGCCGUGAACCCGAGGUUUCCUGGGCAAGGCUAAUCCUCCCAGGGUCAGUCGGGGGCUAAGGCGAGGCCGGGAGGCGUAGCCGACGCGCAGCAGGCAGACAUUCCUGCACCGCGCACGCGGCGCUACGACCGACGGGGCGACGGAUGGGGGUGGCUCGGCGGGGUUCUGGACGUCCCCGUGAUGGAGCGCGGCCCGCGGACCAGGGAAAUCCGGUCCGCACGAGGGCGAGGCUCCGGACGAAGCGAUCAAGCGAAGCGAGUGAGCCCGAGGUCCCUAGAAAAACCCCUANNNNNNNNNNACAGGGCGAGGCUCCGGACGAAGCAUCUGAGCGAAGCGAGUGAGCCCGAGGUCCCUAGAAAAACCCCUAGGCAGGCGCGUGCGCGCCCGUACCGCAAACCGACACAGGUGGGUGGGUAGAACAUACCGAGGCGAUCGGGUCAACCAUGGUCAAGGAACUCGGCACAAUGGCCCCGUAACUUCGGGAGAAGGGGUGCCCGCGCGUACGUGAACGGACUUGCUCCGGGAGCGGAGGCGGGCCGCAGUGGAGAGGCCCAAGCGACUGUUUACCAAAAACACAGGACUCUGCAGAAGCCGCAAGGCGACGUAUAGGGUCUGACGCCUGCCCGGUGCCGGAAGGUCACGCGGAGGAGUUAGCGCAUCGCGCGAAGCCCCGAAGCCAAGCCCCGGUAAACGGCGGCCGUAACUAUAACGGUCCUAAGGUAGCGAAAUUCCUUGUCGGGUAAGUUCCGACCUGCACGAAAGGCGCAACGACUUGGGCGCUGUCUCGACCAUGGACCCGGUGAAAUUGCACUGGUCGUGAAGAUGCGACUUACCCGCGGAAGGACGGAAAGACCCCGUGAACCUUCACUGCAGCUUGGCAUUGGCCGCUGGUCCCGCGUGUAGAGGAUAGGCAGGAGGCACAGAUCCGGAGGCGCCAGCCCCCGGGGAGCCGCCCUUGGAAUACUGCCCUCGCGCGACCGGCGUCCUAACCCGAGGCCGUCGACCGGCUCGGGGACCGUGCCAGGCGGGCAGUUUGACUGGGGCGGUCGCCUCCUAAAGGGUAACGGAGGCGCGCGAAGGUCCGCUCGGGACGGUCGGCAACCGUCCUUUUGAAUGCAAGAGUACAAGCGGGCUUGACUGCGAGGCCCACAAGCCGAGCAGGUGCGAAAGCAGGCUCUAGUGAUCCGGCGGCCCCGAGUGGGUGGGCCGUCGCUCAACGGAUAAAAGGUACUCCGGGGAUAACAGGCUGAUCUUGCCCAAGAGUCCACAUCGACGGCAAGGUUUGGCACCUCGAUGUCGGCUCAUCGCAUCCUGGGGCUGGAGCAGGUCCCAAGGGUACGGCUGUUCGCCGUUUAAAGCGGUACGCGAGCUGGGUUCAGAACGUCGUGAGACAGUUCGGUCCCUAUCCUCCGUGGGCGCAGGAGAAUCGAUGGAGGCUGCCCCCAGUACGAGAGGACCGGGGUGGACGCACCUCCGGUGAACCGGUUGUCGACCAACGGCACGGCCGGGUAGCCGCGUGCGGCGCGGAUAACCGCUGAAGGCAUCUAAGCGGGAAGCCGUUCCAGGGAUUAGUUCUCCUUCCGGUAAGGGCCCAGGUAGACUACCUGGUCGAUAGACGGCAGGUGCAAGGCUGGCGACAGCCUCAGCCGAGCCGCACUAAUCGCCCGAGCU
rnacentral:rRNA from 1 species